rnacentral:rRNA from 1 species
GAGAUGAGUUCUCCCUGACUCCUUGAGAGUCCUGAAGGAACGUUGAAGACGACGACGUUGAUAGGCCGGGUGUGUAAGCGCAGCGAUGCGUUGAGCUAACCGGUACUAAUGAACCGUGAGGCUUAACCUUACAACGCCGAAGCUGUU